rnacentral:rRNA from 1 species
AUUGAACGCUGGCGGCAGGCCUAACACAUGCAAGUCGAGCGGAUGAGGAGAGCUUGCUCUCUGAUUUAGCGGCGGACGGGUGAGUAAUGCCUAGGAAUCUGCCUGGUAGUGGGGGAUAACGUUCCGAAAGGAACGCUAAUACCGCAUACGCCCUACGGGAGAAAGCAGGGGACCUUCGGGCCUUGCGCUAUCAGAUGAGCCUAGGUCGGAUUAGCUAGUUGGUGAGGUAAUGGCUCACCAAGGCGACGAUCCGUAACUGGUCUGAGAGGAUGAUCAGUCACACUGGACCUGAGACACGGUCCAGACUCCUACGGGAGGCAGCAGUGGGGAAUAUUGGACAAUGGGCGAAAGCCUGAUUCAGCCAUGCCGCGUGUGUGAAGAAGGUCUUCGGAUUGUAAAGCACUUUAAGUUGGGAGGAAGGGUUGUAGAUUAAUACUCUGCAAUUUUGACGUUACCAACAGAAUAAGCACCGGCAAACUCUGUGCCAGCCGCCGCGGUAAAAC